CUCCGCCGUCCGGCGCCGCUGCCGCCGCCGCCGCCGCGCUCGCUGGCUGGCCCGGUGCGGGCGCCGGACUCCCGCCGCCGAAGAGAAUCAGCAGCGCCGUCGCCACCACUUCGGCCCGGGCCCGGGCCCCGGCCCCGCCCCGGGCCCCGGCCCCAGCCCCCUGCCCGGUCGGGCGAUGAAGUGUCACUACGAGGCGCUAGGGGUGCGGCGCGACGCCAGCGAAGAGGAGCUCAAGAAGGCCUAUCGGAAGCUGGCCCUGAAAUGGCACCCGGAUAAGAAUCUGGAUAAUGCCGCAGAAGCAGCUGAACAAUUUAAGUUAAUCCAAGCAGCUUACGACGUGUUGAGUGACCCUCAGGAAAGAGCAUGGUAUGAUAAUCAUAGAGAGGCUCUACUGAAAGGUGGGCUUGAUGGAGAAUAUCAAGAUGACAGCUUAGAUUUGCUUCACUAUUUCACUGUUACCUGUUACUCUGGUUAUGGAGAUGAUGAAAAGGGCUUUUAUACGGUGUAUCGUAACGUUUUUGAAAUGAUUGCGAAGGAAGAACGAGAAUCCGUGUUAGAAGAGGAUAUGGAGGAUUUCCCAACUUUUGGAGACUCUCAGAGUGACUAUGACACGGUAGUCCAUCCUUUCUACGCUUACUGGCAGAGUUUCUGCACUCAAAAGAACUUUGCUUGGAAAGAAGAAUAUGAUACACGACAAGCUUCAAACCGCUGGGAGAAGCGAGCCAUGGAAAAAGAAAACAAAAAGAUCCGCGACAAAGCAAGGAAGGAGAAGAACGAGCUUGUGCGCCAGCUGGUAGCUUUCAUCCGGAAGAGAGAUAAAAGAGUGCAGGCGCAUCGGAAACUCGUGGAGGAACAGAACGCGGAGAAGGCGCGGAAGGCCGAGGAGAUGAGGCGGCAGCAGAAGCUAAAGCAGGCCAAACUGGCUGGCCAGUACAAGGAACAGAGCUGGAUGACCACGGCCGACCUGGAGAGGGAGCUCAAGGAGAUGGAGGCGCGCUACGAGAAGGAGUUUGGAGACGGCUCAGCCGAAGACGAAGUGGAGGGGCCUGAGCUCAGAGACGGGCACGACGGUAGAGACAGUGAUGAGGUCGAGGAUGCUGAGCUGUACGAUGACCUUUACUGCCCAGCGUGUGACAAAUCUUUCAAGACGGAAAAGGCCAUGAGGAAUCAUGAAAAAUCAAAGAAGCAUCGGGAAAUGGUUGCCUUGUUAAAACAACAGUUGGAGGAGGAGGAAGAAAAUUUCUCAGGACCUCAAACUGAUGAAAAUCCGUUGAAUGCCAAUUCUGAAGACGAUCUAGAAGAUGCACCAAAACAAAAGCUUUCUAAAAAACAGAAGAAAAAGAAACAGAAACCAGCACAGAAUUAUGAUGAUAAUUUCAAUGAAAAUGGAACUGGAGAAGGAGUAAAGGUUGAGUCAGAAGAUACCAACUUAAAUCAAGACCAUGCCAAAGAAUUCGAAUGUAGUCCCCAAGAAAACAUCAGUGCCACUGAGACUGUUGAACGAUGUGAUGACCCUAAAAGUGAAGCUAAAAAUGCUCCUAAACCCAAAGGAAAGAAAGCCAAAGAUAUGAAGAAAUCUGUCAAAGUACCUGCUGAACAACAGGCAGUGAGUGAUGUUCUUAUCAGCUGUACAACCUGCCACAGUGAAUUUCCAUCCCGGAAUAAACUUUUUGACCAUCUGAAGGCCACAGGUCAUGCGAGAGCACCUUCAUCAUGUUCUUUAAACAGUGUAACAAGUAGUCGAAGCAAGAAAGAGAAACGUAAAAACAGAUAGAAAUUCUGUCAACACUUUUUCUUUUUGAUUGUUUCUAGAUUUUAAAACCAAAAACUGAACUGAAAUCAUCUAAACAGUUAAAAUUUCAGUGAUCUGCAAUUUAUUGCAUUGUGGAAGAUUAUUUUUUAUCUUGUAAAAACAUUUUUUCGUUUAAUAUAUAUAUUUUUAAACAUUUCAUUAAUGGUUGAAUUCUACUUUGCCAUCUGAAUUGACUUGAAUGUCUCAAAACAGACCGGCAGAAGGCAAAAAGUCUCACAAGAUCAAGAUUGAAUGUUAGGAUGAAGAAAUGAAAAUUGAUUUCUUCUGAAGUAAAAGUGAUUCAGUUCGAUGAUGUCUGUGAAAGUUGAAGAUAUGGAUAGCCUGUGACCCUUGGCUCUGUUACCCUGGGCACAUAACUAGAGUCUCCCUUCUCAGAGUCCACAGAGCUGCAGUGUGGACUUCACCUGGGAACUCUCUCUGGAGUGCAGCUCUCAGGUUCCGCCCAGGACUUGCCAUGUGACCAUCUGUUGUUAACAAGAUUUCUCAGGGGAUUCCUACCCUCCUUGAAGCUUGAGGAGCAGUACUCAGGGACCCUUGCGUGUGUGUACAGGGCACAUUUUAUUACUACAUGGACGCUCACAGCUGAGUUGUUUUAAAAUACUUAAAUGUCCAUGAACAAGACAAUGGGUAAACUGAGGCCUAUUUAUAAGUGGGCAAACAAUUGAGCAGUUAAAAUGAGGGAACUUGAUCUGUAAUAUCAGUGGCUAGCUGUGGAAAAAAUGUUGGGUGAGAAUAAGCCGAUCAGAAAAUGAAACGUAUGCCAUUUAUAAAGUUUUAAAAAAUACUGUUGUUGUCUAUGAAGAGAAAGUAGAGAAACCUCGCUGGGAAGCACUGAUGAGAAAAGUAAUCGCCUCCAGAAAAGAAGGGAGAGGAACGGAAUCGGUGCGGCAGUAGGAGGGACCUCAUCUGAGUCCUUUUUUUCUCAGAUCUGGAGGAAAAUAUUAGCAUUUGUUAUUUCUGGAUGGUGGGUAGUGAGGGUUUGUUAAGCCGAUUUUCAUGAAAUACUUCAAACAGAACUCUGAGUUAAUGUUUCCCUUCUGGCCAGCAGAAAAUACACCUUCACGAAAGGGGAGAGGAAGGGUUUAAGAUCUCCAUUUUACUCCUGGCAUGUUUUGUAAGCACAUGGUGGAAGAGGCUUUUACAGCCUCUCAGUCCCCUUCUUCCCUCAAACUCUGAUAUCUCGUUGGCACAAAGCCACCCAGCACAUAACGAUCAUCUUCCCAGCCUCCCAACAGCUAGAUGUCAGUAAGUUCUGGCCAGUGAUUUGAGCAACUCUUGGGACGUGCCCUUCAAGGCGUGGGAUGUCUUUAUUCCUUCCUCUUGCGGGCUUACAGGAAGAGGUAGCAGCCGGAGCUCUAAGCCCAGUCUGGGACCACGAGUCCUUCCGGGGCAGAGCAACUAAAGCACAGGAGCUUGACGCCUCAGAGGGACUCUCUCAGCCCCAGACUACCUACCUCUGCACCCCAGAGAAAUCUCCCACGUUACAAAAGCCUCUGUUGUUUGGGGCUUUGGGUCACAGGUGACUCAAGCCCUGACUGAUUCGGCAUGUGCACGGUCACCUAAAUGAGAGGUAUGACUUCAACAGUGGCCAGGACAUGGGCUCUUAACUCUGGAAGGGCUUAGAUCAAAUUCCAAUGCCAGCAUUAACUAGAUGACCUUGGGCAAGUUGACUAUUCAAACACUUUAAGCCUUUUUUUUGUUGUUUUUUUUUAAAUCUGUAAACUAGGGAUGAGCCCAACCUUGCAGAACUGUAAAGGUUAAAGCUUUAGGGGUGAGCACCACGCCUGCACAUCCUAGGCAUUCAGUAUCUGCUAACCAUUACUUUCCAAUGACCUCUUCUGCUUUAAGUUUUCUUGCUUUAGCGUCACCUGGGUGGCUCAGUCGGUUAAGCAUCUGACUU